UACGUAGGGGGCAAGCGUUGUCCGGAUUUAUUGGGCGUAAAGAGCGUGUAGGCGGCCUGACAGGUCUGCUGUGAAAACUCGAGGCUCAACCUCGAGAUGUCGGCGGAAACCGUCUGGCUAGAGUCCGGAAGAGGAGAGUGGAAUUCCUGGUGUAGCGGUGAAAUGCGCAGAUAUCAGGAGGAACACCGAUGGCGAAGGCAGUGUUCUGGGCCAGUACUGACGCUGAGGAGCGAAAGCGUGGGGAGCAAACAGG
rnacentral:rRNA from 1 species